rnacentral:tRNA from 1 species
GAGCCGGUAGCUCAGCCAGGUAGAGCAACGGACUUUUAAUCCGUUGGCCGUGGGUUCGAAUCCCACCCGGCUCA